rnacentral:rRNA from 1 species
CCUACGGGGCGCAGCAGUGAGGAAUAUUGGUCAAUGGACGAGAGUCUGAACCAGCCAAGUAGCGUGAAGGAUGACUGCCCUAUGGGUUGUAAACUUCUUUUAUAUGGGAAUAAAACGUUCCACGUGUGGGAUUUUGUAUGUACCAUAUGAAUAAGGAUCGGCUAACUCCGUGCCAGCAGCCGCGGUAAUACGGAGGAUCCGAGCGUUAUCCGGAUUUAUUGGGUUUAAAGGGAGCGUAGGUGGAUUGUUAAGUCAGUUGUGAAAGUUUGCGGCUCAACCGUAAAAUUGCAGUUGAAACUGACAGUCUUGAGUACAGUAGAGGUGGGCGGAAUUCGUGGUGUAGCGGUGAAAUGCUUAGAUAUCACGAAGAACUCCGAUUGCGAAGGCAGUUCACUGGACUGCAACUGACACUGAGGCUCGAAAGUGUGGGUAUCAAACAGGAUUAGAUACCCCUGUAGUC